AUGGCUCAUUAAAUCANUUAUAAUGUACCUGANAGUUCCAUUNCUUGGAUAACUGCGGGAAUUUUGGAGCUAAUACAUGCUGAAGAGNCCCGACUCUCGGGGGGGCGNNUUUUUUAUAUCAAAACCAAACGCUUCGGCGUUCAUUGGUGAAUCUGAAUAACUUUUGCUGAUCGNAUGGCUCAACGCCGACGACGUUCCAGUCCNAGGUGUGCCCUAUCAACUUUCGACUGUGAUAUNGACUCUCCCAGUGGUUUUGACGGGGAACGNGGAAUUAUGGUUCUAUUCCGCAGAGGGAGCCUGAGAAACGGCUNCCACUUCUAAGGAAGGCAGCAGGCGCGCCAAUUACCCCUGCUCUAAGACCGAAGGUAGUGACAAAAAAAUAAAUAUACCGGGUCUCCUUCCGAGGCCCGGUAAUCGGGAAUGGAGUACACUUUAAAUCCCUUUACGAGGAAACAAAUU
rnacentral:rRNA from 1 species